rnacentral:tRNA from 2 species
GGGGAAUUAGCUCAGUGGUAGAGCGCUUGCUUAGCAUGCAUGAGGUCGUGGGUUCAAUUCCCACAUUCUCCA